UACGGAGGGGGCUAGCGUUAUUCGGAAUUACUGGGCGUAAAGCGCACGUAGGCGGCGCGCAUAGUCAGAGGUGAAAGGCCUGGGCUCAACCUGGGAACGGCCUUUGAUACUGGCGUGCUGGAGUCCGGGAGAGGGUGACGGAAUUCCCAGUGUAGAGGUGAAAUUCGUAGAUAUUGGGAAGAACACCGGUGGCGAAGGCGGUCACCUGGCCCGGGACUGACGCUGAGGUGCGAAAGCGUUGGGAGCAAACAGA
rnacentral:misc_RNA from 1 species